AGAAAAGACAUCAGUUGUUGGUGAGGAUAUGGAGAAAGGGGAACACUCUUGCGCUGCAGGUUGGAAUGCAAACUCGUGCAGCCACUUAGGUAUGGUUUAUUUAAGGAAAAUGUUAGAGAGUAUUCCUUCUAUGGUUACUUGUUGUUCUCAUUUCUGUGUACUAUUUAGGGCACUGUCAUCAGGUGAAGAUUAUUCUUUAUGAUGACUAGAGUAAAAAAGGUUGACAACCAAUAUAAAUGGAUAUUUAAAGAUAUGGACUUGAAUUUACCCUGUUAAAAUGAAAACAAUACAAUAACAAAAACAAACAAAAACAAAAACAGUUUACUCAACCAAAUGACCUAAUUCACAUUGAGAUUCCACUCUGAAAAUAAUGUUCAUAUGUAGAAAAAUAACCUAGGCUGUGAUUGCCUUCGAAUGCCAGGAUUUUUAUUUUCUUCCUUAUCCUUAUUUUGUCUUUCUAAAUAGCACAUCAAGCUACUGGAAAAUGUAACAUGGUUUGUAAGCUGCUUAGAGUUUGGAUUCAGGAUCCACAAGAUAGUGUGUGCCAAGGUUAGGCAAGGACCUUAGGCAAGGACCAUCUCCUCCUGCAGUUCCAUCCUGGUCAUGGAAAUGUUGUGGUGAAAUGCUGGCUUCCAGGCUGAGAUAUUCCCUGUUGUCCACCUGGACAAAUCUAUUCUUUUCUCAGACCUCGAUGGCAGGGCCACUUAGGGUCAUAGUCCAGGCUAGGAUUAGGAAAAGGACCCAGGAGGCACUGGGAGUUGAACUACCAGCAGCACAGUGGUCUCCAAGGUGGGCUGGGUUGAGGGCGCAUGGUCUGAUACGAGUCAGGCUUAAGAUUUGAAUUCCAGAGCCACAGGAUUGUGUGGACCAGGGUUAGACAAAGUCUUGGGAUCCCCUCCAGCAGCUCUAUUCCAGCCAUGGAAAUGUCAUGGCAAUAUUCUGGCUUCCACACUGAGAUAUUCCCCGUUGGCCACUGGGACAACAUCUAUUCUUUUCCCAAACUUCCAUGUGGGCCCCCGUAGGACCAGAGCACUGCCAAAUGUUCAGGUUAGGUCCCAGGAGGCACCAGGGCCUAAAAGCUCAGUAGUGCAGUGGUCUCCCCAGAACACUGAGUUGAAGGCACAUGGUAGGGUGCGGGUCAGGCUUAAUCUUUGGGUUCCAGGGCAGGUCUUAUCCAUGGCAAAGCUUAGAUUUGCCUUCAUGAUGCCCUGUGAACAGUUCCUUCCCUGCUUUGGAAAUUGCAUAGCGAUUUUCCAAAUCCCAUGUUGAAUAUUCUUGCACUGUUUGUGGGCCCCAAAACUGUUCUGCUCUUAGACCAAGGAAUUGUACCCCCAUCAUGAAAGAGCAUUGGCUAGUGUUAUGGUUAGGUCCUGGAAGUUUUCAGGUACAGAACCAUACUAGUCCAGUGAUCUCCCAGAAGGGCAUAUUUGAGUGUGACUAUUAGUGUGCUGGACAGGCACAGGAUUUGGGUGCAGUGGAUGGCCCCAUUAUGUGUUCCAUGCUUAGCACUUUGCCCCACUUUCAGGCUUUAGAAAACCCAUGGUCAACUCCAGUGUUACUCGCUGAGUAUUUCAACACCCAUCAUGUGGUCCAAAUCUGUUCUUUUGGUAAAAGGCGGGCCCUCUUAGAAGCAGAGCCAUGGCUAAGGUUAAGGAUGGCUCCCUGGAAGUGCCAGAGACACAAACAACAACAAUGUGGUCAUCUGCCUUGAAGGCUGAGUUGAGGGUGCAUGGUUGGGUACAUGUCAACUUUUGGGUUUAAAUACAGGAGCCAGAAGAUUUGUGGGCCAAAGUUAUGUAAGGUCUCGGCAUCAUCUCGUGCAGAUCCACCCCUCCUUUGGAAAUGUCACGGUGAAAUUCUGACUUUCACCCUGAGAUAUUCCCCAUUGGUCAUUGAACCUAAAUCUGUUCUUUUUGCACAUGUCCAUGUUGGGCUCCCUUAUGGCCAGAGCCUUGGCUGGGAUUAUCAUAAGGUCCCUGGAGGCUCCAAGGGCUGAAACCCCAACAGCACAGGGUUCUUCUCCCUGGGGACUGUGGUGAGGGCGCAUGUCAGGGUGUGAGUCAGGUUUUGCCUUUGUGUUCAAGGACCAGCCCAAGGUAUGUGCCAAGCUUAGCUUUGGCCUCAGGAUCCCCCUUGGGAAUCUCCAUCCUUGUUUUGCAAAUGGUCUGAUGAGUUUACAAGUUCCAUGCUGAAUAAUCUUGCACUGGUUAUGGGCACCAAAUCUAUUUUCUAUUCUCAGACCUACAGAUUGGUCCCCCAUAGGGAAAGAGCCUUGGCUAGGGUCAGGGUUAGGUCCAGGAAACUUCAGGAACAGAACCUACACCAAUACAGGGAUUUCCCAGGAGGGGUGAGUAAGUGCACCUGUUAGGGUGCGUAACAAUAAUAGGCUUUGGGUGCAGUGAACAGCCAAUUGUGUGUUCCAGGCUUAGAUUUAGGCACUGGAUCCUCUUUGAAGCUCCAUUCAGGGCCUGGAAAUCCCAAGGUCAAAUUCAGCAUACCUCACUCAAUAUUUCAGCACCCAUCAUGAGUCCCAAGUCUGUUCUUUUUUCAGACCUAGGACGUGAUCCCUCUCAGAAGCAGAGACAUGGCUAGGGUUAGGGUUGGCUCACAGGAAGUGCUAGGGGCACAACCACCAACAGUGCCUUGAAUUUGCUGGAGGGCUGAGUUGAGUGCUCAAGGGAGGCUGUGGGUCAGGCUUAGUCUUCGGGUUCAAGGGCCAGCCUAUGAUGUGGGCCAAGCUCAGGUUGGGCUUCAGGAUCCCCCUUGUGCAGCUCCAUCCUUACUUUGGAUAUGACAUGGUGAUUUCACAACAUCCAUGCUGAAUAAUCUGCAUCUGUUAUGGGCCCCAUAUCCAUUCCUUUCAGACCUGCAAAUUUGGCCCCCAUAAGUAAAGAUCCUUGGCUAGGGUCAGGGUUAGGUCCCAGGAGGUUUCAGGGACAGAACUGAUACCAGUGCACAGAUCUCCCUGGAAGGCUGAAUUGACCAUGCCUGAUAGAGUGUGGGAGAGGCAUGAGGAUUGGGUGCAUUGGACAGCCAAUUUUGAAUGCCAGGCUCAGCAUUUUUUGUAAACAUAACCCAAUUCUUGUCCUUAAUGAAGAACUCUUGCUUUAGGUAUAUCAAGUUUAAUGACAUUGUUUAUUAUCCAUCAAGAUCUUCUCAGGGUCUAUACAAAUUCAGUCUUUCAGAGUACUAUCUCUGGCUUGGAGAUGUCCAAUGUGGAUCAGCCCUUGUGACUGUGGGGUAGGUUGAGCCAAAUGAACCCUGACCUUCUGGUUUCAGGACUACUUCGACAUGUAGAGCCAUAGGGCCUUGGCAGUGGUCCACCCGAGACCAGUUUGUUUGGAGGCUGGGCCAGACAGUAUUAGAAGGGAGCUGGCAUCCUUGCUGCACCUAGGGGACAUGAAGAAACACAUCUCCAUGCCACAUUGGUUUCACUCCCAUUGUGGAAAUAUUGAAUGCCCUUUGGUCAUGGCUGUAGCCAUUCCAUCACCCUUACUGUGUCUCUGACUCUGCCUUCAUUCAUGCUUAGGAGCCAUGGAGCUGGCACACACUCAGUGGGCUCCUAGGGAUGGAUGUUGUGUUCUCACUGUCCCGUGCUCAGUGACAGCCAUCAGCAUCGUAUAUACCAAAUGAGAAUAGCCCUCCUAUUCCUGAGCUUAGUGCUUGGCUGUUUUUAGCAAGGGGUGGGGGGAGUGUAGACAGCUUGACCCAUUGCUCUGCCUGAUUGAGGUUUCUUCCCCCUGAAAGGCAGACAGUUCACACAAGAGCAGUAGCUGGUGAGCUGGUGAGCUCCAGAAGCUGGUGAGCCCAGAAACUUCCCUUGACAGGAAGUGGGCACCAAUGCCUCUCUCCACACUUUGGAGCCACAUCUGGGGCACCUCCCAGCUAAAACACUGUCAGAGCUCACUCCAGUCAAUGAUGGAGAAAGCAAGAAAGGCAGACCAAGUCCCAGGGCUCUCUAGGUCCUUCUGAAGGCAGAAGUCAGGCCUGGUGCCAACACAGCUCCCAAAUGGAGAUUCUAGGGAGCAUAUUUCCCUAAGACCUCUGGUGUUUCUUCUUCUUCCCACAGCCAUGUUACCAGAGCUCUUGCUGGGCACUCACUUUUCCAUAGAAUUCCCCUUCCAAUCUUUGAAGAGUUCUGGUUUUCCUUAUUCAACUUCACACAUCUUUGCUCCUUCUCUAAAAACAAGGUUCUUCCCACAAUCCGUUCAGAGUCAAUGUCUCCAGGUCCUAUCCUCUGCCUUCCACCUGGGAGUCUGGUCCAGUCCUUGUGACUGGUGGAGAGAUUUUGCCACAGGGCUCCUAUUCAAAAGCCUUGUGACUGGCUUUCAGAAGGAUACAGCCAUUCAGGGCAUUUUUAGCGGCCAAGCAAAGGAUGUUUCAUAUGUAGGCUGGGCCAGAGGUCUGGCCAGGGAGCUGGUAUCUUUCUGGGCUGAGAGCAAAUGAAACAAGACAUCUUCUUUCCAAGUGUAUCCCCAUUCCCACUGGAAGUGUUGAGCUUUGGCUCUCCUUGCAUUUCCUUUUCCUUUCUGUAUUUUGAUAAUUUUUUCUCCCUUAGGAGCCACGGGGCCAUCACUCACUCAGCUGGCACUACUGGGUAGGCUACAAACUCCCACUAUGCUCCUGUGCUAAGUGAGAGCUAUCAGGCUUUGUUCUACCAAAGGAAAGAAAACCUUUACUCCCUUGGUGCUUGGUGGUUGGCCUGCUGUGCUAUGUAAGGUAAAGGGGAGCCAGCUUGCCUGACUGACCUGGACGAUUGAGUUUUCUUCAUUCUGAGAAGCAGAAAGUUAGCACAUGGGCAACAUGAAUGGGAGGGGGUCAGCACUAGAAGAGCCCUUGCCAGGAUGGAGGGAACCAAAUCCUUGUUCCAGAAUCCUGAGCAAGAGCCAGCAGAACCCAACAGCUACAGCUCAAACACUGCUGCCUCGCUCAACUGAUUGAAAAAGGGGGAGGGAUACCCAAAGCCAUAAUUCACUGGUUCCUAUGGAAAAAAAUGCAGGCUUCUUGCUGACAGGGCUCCCAGAUGUAGUCCUUCAGAGGCUUCUUUUGUCCUAAGCCCACAGGCAUUUCUUAUUCCGGAUAUAACUUGGUUGAGAGGAGACUGCACUGGGUACUUCAUUCUCAACAUUCUCCAAAUCUCAUGCGUGAUGAAGAACUCUCGCAGUCUGUGUCUCCAUCUCCACCACUUAACCCUUUUUGUGAAGAAACAUUCUGCAUAUAAUUUAUUCAGAGCCAGUUUCUCAGAGCAAUGUCCUCUUGUUUCAGCUUGGGAAUUUGGUGGUAUCUUUGUGAUGUUGAUAUAGGUAUUGCUCUGGGUCCUUCUUAAUUUCAUUUUAUAAUUACGUGGCCACCCCAAACCUAAGGUGUGUAAAGAUGCCCACGGAGAAUCCUUGAGGGUAGUUUAAGCCAGCCAGUGUUUAGGGGAGGAUCCUGCAUCCUGGGUGGGACAAGAGGAAGGGAUGUUAGAGAUAUCUCCUUCCUCAAUUAGACCUGUGCCCAUUUGAAUGGAGAACUUUGGCCUUGUAGUCAUUCCUCUCCCAUUGCUGCUUUUCUAACUUGCUCUCUGUUCACACAGAAAGACAAUGUGGCUGUCUAUACCCAGCCAUGUUCCAAGGAUUGGAAGUCAGUUUCAGUCAGUUCCUGAGCCAGUGGAGGACUCUCAGAGUCUGAUGUCUCAGAGAACAACUGACCCUCAUGUCCUCAAACUCUUCUUGCUUAGCGGGCUAUUAUAGGAAUAGUGAAUAACUGCUCUUCUUUUGAAUCAAGGGAUUCCCUGGAAUCCUUUCAGAGCCAGUGUCUCAGAGUCAUAUCUUUUCCUAUUAAGCAGGGAGUCUGGAACAAUUUUGGUGAGUGUGCAAUAGGUUUGGUCACAGGGACUUUGGGAGUUGUGUUUCAGAAUUUGUAGACAUCGCCAGGCCUAGAGCAUUUGCAGGUGCCCACUGGAAAAUGCUUGUGUGUAGGCUAAGCCAGAGGUUUUAGGAAGGGAACCAUCCUACUAUCUGCAUCAAGACUUAAUUAAGAAAGAUAUCUCCUUUGCAGAUGGAUGCUAUUCUCUUUGGAGAUGAAGAACUUUGUCACUGCUUGUACUCAUACACAUCCCAUUGCUGAUUUUCUAGCUAGGUCUCAGUUCAUGUUCCAGGACCAUAGGGCUGUUAUUAACACAGCCAUGACUAUAUGAAUGGUGCCAGGUUCCCAGUCAGUUUCUGUAAAUUGAAGGUUCUCUGGGUCUAAUAUCUAAGAGGAAACCUGGCCCUUCUGUCCCUGAGCACAUGGUGUUGCUUAGCUGGCUAGUGUAUGCACAAGCAUCACUAUCCAGUUGCCCUCCCUCCCCUCACUAAUAUAGAUCCAUUCAUUUUGAAGAACAGGCAGUUUUCAUGUGGGCAUGAUGCUCCAAGAUCUGAUCACCACAUAAAGUCCCCUUGGAUGGAAUCCUGUACCAUGUACUGCUUCCAAACACUUACCCAUCGGCUGGGAGUACAUCCCUGCUACAGCUGUAUCACCACUGCCCCUAUGUCCUGAUGGCAAGGAUAGAGCACAUAAGUAGAACCAGGUCUUUCCCUCUGAUUCUGAAAAAACAAGAUCGGAAGGCUUCUUGAUGACAGGGCUUUCAGGUGGAACUUAUACAUGGCACUGUUGGCCAAAUCCUGCUGGCGUUUCUCUUUCCUGAGUCAGUCAGUGAACUGGGGAAGACUGUGCUAGUCACAUAACUUCCUAUAUUAUCUCAUUCUUAUCUCUGAUGCAGACUUCUUGGAUUCCCUCUAUGUGUUUUCACCCCUUUGCUCUAUUUUAGUGCUGAGCCCAUGCUGGGGUCCAUUCCAUGUGAUUGUCUUACUGUCAUAUCCUGGGCUCUCCACUGGGGUUCUGGUCCAUUUAUUGUGAGUGUGGCAUAUGUUGUCCCAAAGGGCCCCAGGGUCUUUACAGGAUAGACUUCCCUAUAUGCUUGUUCAUCUCUGCAUGAGUCUCAAACUCAGGUUUCUGGCCAAGUAGGCCUAUGUUUUUCUUUUUGUUUUGCCAUGAACAGAUCCUCAGAGCCUCUUGGGUUUUGAAACAUCUUGAAAAGACAAGAAUAACUAUAAAAUGGGAAGGUGUUACAGUGUCUGAAUGAUGCUCAGACCUUGAACUCCUAGAGGGAAGACGUGGCUGCCUUACCAGCACUGGCACUAUGUGAAUGCUCAGAUGCUCAUUCCCAGUGGCUGACUGAAGAGUAGUCCGUGUUACCGCCACUGCUCCUAGAAUGCUGAGAGGCUUGGGGAGUACUGGUGAGACACCUCGGGACACUUUGGUGGUGGUGCCUGGAGACAUUUGUGGAAGUCCAGGAGUUCCUAGGUGUCCCCAAUCCAUGAAUGUCCCUGUCCUGCACAAACCAGACUAGAUGCACAGUGGCUCUGAGGGGAUGAAGACUUGGCAGUCUAGUCAGCGACUAACCUGGAUGCGGCAGGUUCCUGAAAGUACCACAUGAUCUCUGCUUGUUUCCCUCCUCUCUUCCUUUGCCAUUUGAACACCCACCAUACAUGAAGAGGCUCAGGUGAUUGAUGUCUGAGAACAGGAUGCUGACUGUUCCCUCAGGUAAGAGUUAAGUGCCAGACCUGGGCAAACCAUUUUGAGUACCUCCUAGCUCAUGUAUUUUAAUUGCCUCUUUGUGGAGUGUAAACCUCUUAGACCUUAACCUAGAGGAUCUUGGUGCAGAAAAGCUUAGCAGAUGGAGGGGAAAAUGGAAACAGAGUUGGAUAUAGAUGUUAGCCUCAGGGGAAAGAAUGUGGUUUGAGUUGGGAAAUGAGGAGGUGGGUAAAGGGAAGGUGCAUAUAUGUAUCAGGUGGCCCUCCUGCCAUCUCACUCCCUCUAUCUCCAUAGUAAAGAAACAUGAACAAAUAUUAACAGAAAGUUCCCCAGGGCAGGUGCUGGCCCCGGUCACAGCCAUUCAUUCGCUUUGUAAUUAACUCGAUGGUGUUACUUUAGCAUUAUUGAGUAUUUGAGUAUUAUUAUUUGAGGAGCACUGGGUUCAUGUACAGCCACCUCCCUGGGAAACCAGCUUUGCAAAAGCUUCCUGGGUCUCUUGAGGGGUGACAGGGAGGUGUCCACCUUGGGAGGAGACACCUGCCAGUCCCUGUCCCACUGGCCUGGUCUCUGGAGC